UUUAAAUACAAAAACACAAGCAGGUUCCCCUCCUCUCCUUUGCCUCUUGGUCUGGCUCUCCCUACCUUUGGGCUGGUGCCUGACCGAAUGGGAAACCCGUCGCUCGGCGGCCACUAACCUGUGAGCGCCGGUACCUGGAGACCAGGCCCCUCUGCCGGGGCCCCAGGAGCCGUGCCCCAUCCUUGUGCAGCCCACAGACUCCAGCCUGGUGUGAAAACUGAGGUCCAGAGAGGUGAUGUGAUUUGCCUAAAGUCAUGCAACUAGUGGCAGAGCCAGGCCUAGAAGCCAGGUGUCCUGGCUCUCAAGAUAUUCCGCUGCCCGAGGAAUGGAACAGGAGGAAGGGUCAAUGUGGUGCCAGUUACUUCAUCUUGGUUGAAGUCCUUGAUGCUCAUCAAACAUUGAAUGAAGGAAUGAAUUGAAUGAACAAAUACAUUGUAGACACAGAGUUUUCUGUUGUAUUGUUAUAAUCCUUUACUAUCAU